AUGUGGAGCCGUAGCGAAAGCGAGUCUGAAUAGGGCGUUGAGUAUUUGGUCGUAGACCCGAAACCAGGUGAUCUACCCAUGGUCAGGUUGAAGUUCAGGUAACACUGAAUGGAGGACCGAACCGACUUACGUUGAAAAGUGAGCGGAUGAACUGUGGGUAGCGGAGAAAUUCCAAUCGAACUUGGAGAUAGCUGGUUCUCUCCGAAAUAGCUUUAGGGCUAGCCUCAAGUGAUGAUUAUUGGAGGUAGAGCACUGUUUGGACGAGGGGCCCCUCUCGGGUUACCGAAUUCAGACAAACUCCGAAUGCCAAUUAAUUUAACUUGGGAGUCAGAACAUGGGUGAUAAGGUCCGUGUUCGAAAGGGAAACAGCCCAGACCACCAGCUAAGGUCCCAAAAUAUAUGUUAAGUGGAAAAGGAUGUGGCGUUGCCCAGACAACUAGGAUGUUGGCUUAGAAGCAGCCAUCAUUUAAAGAGUGCGUAAUAGCUCACUAGUCGAGUGACACUGCGCCGAAAAUGUACCGGGGCUAAACAUAUUACCGAAGCUGUGGAUUGUCCGUAGGACAAUGGUAGGAGAGCGUUCUAAGGGCGUUGAAGCAUGAUUGCAAGGACAUGUGGAGCGCUUAGAAGUGAGAAUGCCGGUGUGAGUAGCGAAAGACGGGUGAGAAUCCCGUCCACCGAUUGACUAAGGUUUCCAGAGGAAGGCUCGUCCGCUCUGGGUUAGUCGGGUCCUAAGCUGAGGCCGACAGGCGUAGGCGAUGGAUAACAGGUUGAUAUUCCUGUACCACCUAGCAUCGUUUUAAUCGAUGGGGGGACGCAGUAGGAUAGGCGAAGCGUACGAUUGGAUUGUACGUCUAAGCAGUGAGAUUGAGUGUUAGGCAAAUCCGGCACUCUUAAGAUUGAGCUGUGAUGGGGAGAGGAAAUUGUUUCCUCGAGUCGUUGAUUUCACACUGCCGAGAAAAGCCUCUAGAUAGAUAAUAGGUGCCCGUACCGCAAACCGACACAGGUAGUCAAGAUGAGAAUUCUAAGGUGAGCGAGCGAACUCUCGUUAAGGAACUCGGCAAAAUGACCCCGUAACUUCGGGAGAAGGGGUGCUCUUUAGGGUGCAAGCCCAGAAGAGCCGCAGUGAAUAGGCCCAAGCGACUGUUUAUCAAAAACACAGGUCUCUGCUAAACCGUAAGGUGAUGUAUAGGGGCUGACGCCUGCCCGGUGCUGGAAGGUUAAGAGGAGUGGUUAGCUUCUGCGAAGCUACGAAUCGAAGCCCCAGUAAACGGCGGCCGUAACUAUAACGGUCCUAAGGUAGCGAAAUUCCUUGUCGGGUAAGUUCCGACCCGCACGAAAGGCGUAACGAUUUGGGCA
rnacentral:rRNA from 1 species